rnacentral:rRNA from 1 species
AGAUUGAACGCUAGCGGCAUGCCUAACACAUGCAAGUCGAACGGUAACAGGCCCUUCGGGGUGGCUCGACGAGUGGCGGACGGGUGAGGUAAUGCGUAGGAAUCUACCCACGAGUGGGGGAUAGCCCGGAGGAAAUCCGGAUUAAUACCGCAUAUGCCCUACGGGGUAAAGCGGGGGAGUCGUAAGACCGUCGACGCUGGUGGAUGAGCCUACGUCCGAUUAGUUAGUUGGUGGGGUAAAGGCCUACCAAGGCUACGGAUCGGUAGCUGGUCUGAGAGGACGACCAGCCACACUGGGACUGAGACACGGCCCAGACUCCUACGGGAGGCA